AAUUGUCACCCUUCGUGAUUAUCGUAUUUUGGUUUAUGAUUCUAAUCGCCGUAAACCGGUUUUAAUUGGAAAAACACGGUCGAACACGAACCGGGUUUUAUAUUUAUUUGUGGAGGCUUCGUCGUCGUCAUCAUCGUGUUCUGGGUUUUCACUUGUCAUUCAUCCUCUACCUCUGGCGACCAGGAAGUGAAGAAGUUGAGUAAACCAAGUUGAUUAGCUUUGAAGCUGAGCAGUAAUGGAAGAUUCAGAGAAAAGAAAAGAAAUGCUAAAAGCAAUGCGGAUGGAAGCUGCUGCUGCUGCUGCUGCAGAGAAUGAUGGUUCUACAGAGCUUGGAACCUCUAUGAACACAAGUCACCUCUCAAAUCCCUUGGCUGAAGCAUCCAUACAUCAGCAGGAAUCGUAUGAUAAGCCAAGGUUUGAUUAUUACACCGACCCGAUGGCAGCUUAUUCUAGUUUCAAGAGAAACAAGAGCCCUAAGCAACAGUACAUCUCAUCUCCUAGUCAUCAAAUGAGCCCUCCGGUACCGCAGUUUCCACCGUCUGCUCCAGGAUUGGUGGGGAAUGACUAUCAGGCACAUCCCAAUCAUGGCGGUUUUCAAGAAGCUCAUUACGGUGGUGAUAAUCUGCAUACCGAACCAAGAGGGAUGGCACCCUCGUACAGAGGUCCACCCGCCCCUUGGAAUAACAACAACUUUAGGCCUCCACCACCUGUUAACCAUUUAGGUCCACCUCAAUGGGUACCUCGCCCUUAUCCAUUCCCUCAGGGAAACCAUGAUAUGGGGGAUAACAGAUAUGGUGGUCGAGGUCCUCGAGGAGGCAACUAUAACAAUAACCCUCCACAAUUUCCCCAUUACGGACGGCAAAAUUCUAACUGGGCUGGAAACACAUAUCCUAACUCAGGAAGAGGCAGAGGCAGAGGAGGACGCGGUAUGAACACAAGCUAUGGGCGAGGUGGAGGAAGAAGACCCAUGGAACAAGGUGCAGAACGAUUUUACUCCAACUCCAUGGCUGAGGAUCCAUGGAAGUAUCUUCAGCCAGUCUUGUGGAAGAGCUGCUCAGAUGCUUCAAGCAGCAACUCAACAGGUCAAGCCUGGCGUCCCAAUUCUAUAGCACCGAAGAAACCAAUGAUAUCAGAAGCUUCCCACAAUCCUAGCAGUAAUCAGCAGAGCCUUGCUGAGUACCUUGCUGCUUCUCUAGAUGAGGCCACGUGCGAUGAAUCAAGCAAUUGAAUCAAGAGAAUUUGAGCAAAUGGGAAAAACACCAAAUCCGAGCAUAUUGAGUACUGUCAUCACUGAUGAGUCUUUGGAACAGGUAUUGUUACAUGGCUUGUAACGAGACACAACAGAGGACGAUGGUCAUCUUUAGGAACAGAGUAGAAUGGUUGGUAAACGUGGUGUUCAAUCAGGGUGGGAUCACUUUGUACUCGCUUUGGGUUUAGUUUUUUAACCAAAGGUUUGGUAAUAAGAGAGGUGCAGUUGUUAGUUGAAGCGAUCGAACAUGGAUCAUGGAUGUAAUAAAAGGGUGUUUGUUGUUAGAUCUGAUGACUCAACUCUCCAUAGAGAGCUUCUUCAUUCAACUCCGAUGAUUUGGACCAAUUUUGUUUAUUAUAAAUAAGGGAAUAUACCUUUGUCUAUUAAAAUGUACAUUUAAUGUCACCGAAAAGGUUGCCUCAA